ACCAGUGUGGCAUAGUGAUAAUGUGCAGGGCUUAUAACCAGAAGGUUGGAGGUUCGAUUUCCUGCUAUGGCA